rnacentral:rRNA from 1 species
GACGAACGCUGGCGGCGUGCUUAACACAUGCAAGUCGAACGGAAAGGCCCUGCUUUUGUGGGGUGCUCGAGUGGCGAACGGGUGAGUAACACGUGAGUAACCUGCCCUUGACUUUGGGAUAACUUCAGGAAACUGGGGCUAAUACCGGAUAGGAGCUCCUGCUGCAUGGUGGGGGUUGGAAAGUUUCGGCGGUUGGGGAUGGACUCGCGGCUUAUCAGCUUGUUGGUGGGGUAGUGGCUUACCAAGGCUUUGACGGGUAGCCGGCCUGAGAGGGUGACCGGACACAUUGGGACUGAGCUACGGCCCAGACUCCUACGGGAGGCAGCAGUGGGGAAUAUUGCACAAUGGGCGGAAGCCUGAUGCAGCAACGCCGCGUGCGGGAUGACGGCCUUCGGGUUGUAAACCGCUUUCGCCUGUGACGAAGCGUGAGUGACGGUAAUGGGUAAAGAAGCACCGGCUAACUACGUG